CCUACGGGAGGCAGCAGUGAGGAAUAUUGGUCAAUGGACGAGAGCCUGAACCAGCCAAGUAGCGUGAAGGAUGACUGCCCUAUGGGUUGUAAACUUCUUUUAUAUGGGAAUAAAGUGUUCCACGUGUGGGAUUUUGUAUGUACUAUAUGAAUAAGGAUCGGCUAACUCCGUGCCAGCAGCCGCGGUAAUACGGAGGAUCCGAGCGUUAUCCGGAUUUAGUGGGUUUAAAGGGAGCGUAGAUGGGUUGUUAAGUCAGUUGUGAAAGUUUGCGGCUCAACCGUAAAAUUGCAGUUGAUACUGGCAGUCUUGAGUACAGUAGAGGUAGGCGGAAUUCGUGGUGUAGCGGUGAAAUGCUUAGAUAUCACGAAGAACUCCGAUUGCGAAGGCAGCUCACUAAACUGCAACUGACACUGAGGCUCGAAAGUGUGGGUAUCAAACAGGAGUAGAUACCCGGGUAGUC
rnacentral:rRNA from 1 species